rnacentral:lncRNA from 1 species
AAUUACUGUUUACAAAAAGGCACAACUUCAAACUAUUUCAGUCGAAGUGUUUGGGUUUACCCUUGUAGGAGUUUUCUCCCCUUAUGUAUUUGAAAUCAGUAUUUCUCCACAACCGUACAAAUGAUUGACCUGGGGUCUUUUGAUUUGAGAUCACUGACCUAUGACCUUGAAAUUGAGGUCAAGGUCAAAGGUCAAAUUGACGUUCUAGAUUUUGACCUUUGCUAAAAAUUAUUUUCUGUUCUUGAUAAAACAAUUAAGUGUUCUACAUAUACCUUUGAAUCUUAUUUUUUUAUAUCAAUUUGAAGAACUAAAUUAC